AGGAGGAUAAAGUGACUUGUAUAAGAUGAUAGAGGUUCAGGGCAGGCUAAACAUUCACUAUAUUAAGAUCAUGCAUGUGUCCCCAGACCUAGUUCUUUUCUUAGGUCUGGUUGUAUAAAUGCUGGUGAUAAAG
ensembl:snoRNA SNORA72 Small nucleolar RNA SNORA72